UUCGAUGCAACGCGAAAAACCUUACCUACCCUUGACAUGUCUGGAAUCCUGAAGAGAUUUGGGAGUGCUCGAAAGAGAGCCAGAACACAGGUGCUGCAUGGCCGUCGUCAGCUCGUGUCGUGAGAUGUUGGGUUAAGUCCCGCAACGAGCGCAACCCUUGUCAUUAGUUGCUACGAAAGGGCACUCUAAUGAGACUGCCGGUGACAAACCGGAGGAAGGUGGGGAUGACGUCAGGUCAUCAUGGCCCUUAUGGGUAGGGCUACACACGUCAUACAAUGGCCGGGACAGAGGGCUGCCAACCCGCGAGGGGGAGCUAAUCCCAGAAACCCGGUCGUAGUCCGGAUCGUAGUCUGCAACUCGACUGCGUGAAGUCGGAAUCGCUAGUAAUCGCGGAUCAGCUUGCCGCGGUGAAUACGUUCCCGGGUCUUGUACACACCGCCCGUCACACCAUGGGAGCGGGUUCUGCCAGAAGUAGUUAGCCUAACCGCAAGGGGGGCGA
rnacentral:rRNA from 1 species